rnacentral:rRNA from 1 species
GAUGAACGCUGGCGGCGUGCCUAAUACAUGCAAGUCGAGCGAACGGACGAGAAGCUUGCUUCUCUGAUGUUAGCGGCGGACGGGUGAGUAACACGUGGAUAACCUACCUAUAAGACUGGUAAAACUUCGGGAAUCCGGAGCUAAUACCGGAUAAUAUUUUGCACCGCAUGGUUCAAAAGUGAAAGACGGUCUUGCUGUCACUUAUAGAUGGAUCCCGGCUGCAUUAGCUAGUUGGUAAGGUAACGGCUUUCCAAGGCAACGAUGCAUAGCCGACCUGAGAGAGUGGUCGGCGGCACUGGAGCGGAGACGCGGACCAGGCUACUAAGGGAGGCAGCAGACGGGAAUGGGCCGCAAUGGGCGGAAGCCUGACGGAGCGACGCCGCGUGAGAGAUGAAGGUCUUCGGAUCGUAAAGCUCUGUUAUUAGGGAAAAACAUAUGUGUAAUGAAACGUGCACAUCUUGACGGUACCUAAUCAGAAAGCCACGGCUAACUACGUG